rnacentral:rRNA from 1 species
AAUAGAUACCCGGGUAGUCCACGCCGUAAACGAUGUCGACUUGGAGGUUGUUCCCUUGAGGAGUGGCUUCCGGAGCUAACGCGUUAAGUCGACCGCCUGGGGAGUACGGCCGCAAGGUUAAAACUCAAAUGAAUUGACGGGGGGCCCGCACAAGCGGUGGAGCAUGUGGUUUAAUUCGAUGCAACGCGAAGAACCUUACCUACUCUUGACAUCCAGAGAACUUAGCAGAGAUGCUUUGGUGCCUUCGGGAACUCUGAGACAGGUGCUGCAUGGCUGUCGUCAGCUCGUGUUGUGAAAUGUUGGGUUAAGUCCCGCAACGAGCGCAACCCUCAUCCUUUGUUGCCAGCGGUUCGGCCGGGAACUCAAAGGAGACUGCCAGUGAUAAACUGGAGGAAGGUGGGGAUGACGUCAAGUCAUCAUGGCCCUUACGAGUAGGGCUACACACGUGCUACAAUGGCGCAUACAAAGAGAAGCGACCUCGCGAGAGCAAGCGGACCUCAUAAAGUGCGUCGUAGUCCGGA